CUUGCUAUCAUCUUAAUUAUCUAGAGUAGAUUUAUUUAAAUGUGUGAUUUUAUGGAAAAAUGGUUUAAUUGGAAAAUUAUUGUGUUUUAUGGGAAAAUGAGAUUUUAUAAAAUUUUUGCAAUUUAAUAAUGAUUUCAAAAAUAGAGUAAUUGGAGACCUAUACUAUGAUUGUGUUGUUUAUCUAUGAUUUUACAUUAAAUGACUUAUGAUAAAUGUGGGUAUGACUGGUUAUUUUUAUGAUUUCAAGAAUAUGUGAACUGCUUUGAUUUGCCUUGAAUGUGUUAAGUGAGCGAUGUCAUACUAUUGUGAUUUUAUUGAUUGGUGGAUUAUAAAGUGGGCACUGCAGUGACCGGGGUUCCGUGGACUAGCCUAGUUAGAGGGGCACGGUUCCUAAUUAUUGAGCUUACCUCGAUUGGAGAGGCGCGUAGGAUAACUCCCGAGGUAGGAUUUGAGUGCACCUCACGUUCGGGCCACCACGUGAGAGUCAGACUCAGCGAACGCCAAGGAACGGUUGUGUUGUCAGAGGUGAAAUGUGUUUGUGUGUGUGACAAUAAACAACCUUGGCGGUCUCGGUAAGAUGCCUCCGUGGGGUAUCCCCGAGAAUGGAUUUUUGGCAAGGGCCAAGUUUUGAAAAGUGCAUAAGCCAUGUUGAGUAAUUGAAUGAAAUCCAAUUAUUUAUAUGGGUUGGGAUGAAUUAUUUUAAUUGUCUCUUAUUACUUGGCUUUAGAUUAUUUUGAUGAUGUCUGUCUACUCACUGAGAUUAUGUAAUCAUAAUCUCACCCCUCUUCCUAUCCAUUUUUCAAGCUCAGGACAAUUUGUUGAUAGUUGAUUAAGACGAGAAUUAAUCUCGGAGUUGCAUUCUAGAAAGUAAGGGUUCAUAGCCCUACAUCUUCUUAGUCAGUUGGGGG
rnacentral:lncRNA from 1 species